rnacentral:misc_RNA from 1 species
ACUUACAAGUCAUCUUGUCAUUACUUUCAUUUUUGAUGUCUUUAUAUGUGUUAUGUUUUAUUCAUUAAAUGUACAUCGUAAUUCUCCUUUUAAGAUAAAAUCGAGUAUGAAAAAUUAUUUGAACUUGUCUAUGAAAUUUUAAAACAUCAAUUGAAAAAUGAUAAGAAAUUUCAGGAAUGUUGGUCUUUAACUUCUUGAAAGAAUAUUAUUUUAAUUCUUUACAAUAUUUAAAAACAAGUUUAAGUUUUUAUUUUAAUUUUUGUGAAAUUCUUUAUAAAAGUUUCUCGAGGUGCCAUUAGUUAAGGAGAGUACACAGAUCAUUUAUCAUCACUUGUACUGUUUUCAUAGUGUUGGUCUCUCUAUUAUAUAUAUGCUGUAUUAUGUCAACUUUAUUUAUUUCUGGUUGUGUACAUUUUGUAAUGUGACAACACUGAAGCAAGUUCUGUUAUGAUAUUUGUACAGAAAAACUGAUGAAAACAGCAAAUUAAAAUAUUAAAAU